AUUUAAGUAGUUUAUGAAAAAUAAAGACUUGUGAUGUCUUAGAAGCUUUAAAGUCUUAAAUU
rnacentral:tRNA from 1 species